rnacentral:lncRNA from 1 species
UGGGGAAGAGUAUGUCAUCAUAAACAUGUUGCACCAGAGAUUGAAACCUUCUCUGAGGGUUAUUUUGUGGUAUCUCUUGUCUCCUCCUAAAUCAAUUGCAGCAGCAACUACAACAAAUAAACAAGAAUUAAGCAUAGAAGAAACAAACCACAACUAGCCAAGACAUAUAAGAAAGAAAGAAAACAUAAAAUUAAUUAAAAUAUGAUUUAGGGUUUGUACCUUUAGGAACGGAACCAGCGUUGUGUUCUUCUUCUCCUACUAAAUCCUUCUCAUUCGAGACGCCAGGCAUCGCCAUCAGGUGGCUGUUGAGAGAGGAGAGGAGAGGGUAGGGUUGAGACUUGAGAGAGGAGAGCAAGAAUGGAAUGAAUCAAAGUCAACAUGCAUGAACAUGAACAAAC